rnacentral:rRNA from 1 species
GGGUUCGUACAUGUCUAGUAUAAGCACUUUAUACUGUGAAACUGCGAAUGGCUCAUUAAAUCAGUUAUCGUUUAUUUGAUAGUACCUUACUACAUGGAUACCUGUGGUAAUUCUAGAGCUAAUACAUGCUGAAAACCUCGACUUCGGAAGGGGUGUAUUUAUUAGAUAAAAAACCAAUGCCCUUCGGGGCUCCUUGGUGAAUCAUAAUAACUUAACGAAUCGCAUGGCCUUGCGCCGGCGAUGGUUCAUUCAAAUUUCUGCCCUAUCAACUUUCGAUGGUAGGAUAGUGGCCUACCAUGGUGGCAACGGGUAACGGGGAAUUAGGGUUCGAUUCCGGAGAGGGAGCCUGAGAAACGGCUACCACAUCCAAGGAAGGCAGCAGGCGCGCAAAUUACCCAAUCCCGACACGGGGAGGUAGUGACAAUAAAUACUGAUACGGGGCUCUUUUGGGUCUCGUAAUUGGAAUGAGUACAAUCUAAAUCCCUUAACGAGGAACAAUUGGAGGGCAAGUCUGGUGCCAGCAGCCGCGGUAAUUCCAGCUCCAAUAGCGUAUAUUAAAGUUGUUGCAGUUAAAAAGCUCGUAGUUGAACCUUGGGUCUGGCUGGCCGGUCCGCCUCACCGCGAGUACUGGUCCGGCUGGACCUUUCCUUCUGGGGAAUCUCAUGGCCUUCACUGGCUGUGGGGGGAACCAGGACUUUUACUGUGAAAAAAUUAGAGUGUUCAAAGCAGGCCUUUGCUCGAAUACAUUAGCAUGGAAUAAUAGAAUAGGACGUGCGGUUCUAUUUUGUUGGUUUCUAGGACCGCCGUAAUGAUUAAUAGGGAUAGUCGGGGGCGUCAGUAUUCAGCUGUCAGAGGUGAAAUUCUUGGAUUUGCUGAAGACUAACUACUGCGAAAGCAUUCGCCAAGGAUGUUUUCAUUAAUCAGGGAACGAAAGUUAGGGGAUCGAAGACGAUCAGAUACCGUCGUAGUCUUAACCAUAAACUAUGCCGACUAGGGAUCGGACGGUGUUUCUAUUAUGACCCGUUCGGCACCUUACGAGAAAUCAAAGUUUUUGGGUUCUGGGGGGGAGUAUGGUCGCAAGGCUGAAACUUAAAGAAAUUGACGGAAGGGCACCACCAGGGCGUGGAACCUGGCGGCUUAAUUUGACUCAACACGGGGAAAACUCACCAGGGUCCGAACAAAAUAAGGGAUUGGACAAAUUGGAAAGCUCUUUCUUGGAACUUUUUGGAAGGGGGGGGCAUGCGCCCGUUCUUAAAUUGGGGGGAAAGGAUUUUGUCCGGCUUAAUUUGCGUAAAACGAACGGG